rnacentral:pre_miRNA from 1 species
AAAGUACUCCCUCCGUCCCAAAAUUCUUGUCUUAGAUUUUUCUAGAUACGGAUGUAUCAAGUCACAUUUUAGUAUUAGAUACAUCCGUAUCUAGACAAAUCUAAGACAAGAAAUUUGGGACAAAGGGAGUAGUUG